GGCUGCAAAAAAUGACUCAUAUUGUUAAUGUUGCCACAGGAAUUGUAAAUCAAUUUCCAAAUAGUUUCAGUACAAAACAGUAGAAAUUUUGGAUUUACCUGACACAAGAAUAGAUCAGAAUUUUGCUGAGCUGUCCUCAUUCAUUGAAAAGGGACUGGAGGAUGGAAAGGUUUUGGUUCAUUGAGCCCCUCCAAUGCGAUUCAAUGUUUCUAUGGUAACUGCUAUGCAGAAUCUGUUCAAGU